rnacentral:rRNA from 1 species
AGAGAUGUGUGAUGACGCAUAUCAAUAAGCGGAGGAAAAGAAACUAACAAGGAUUCCCCUAGUAACGGCGAGUGAAGCGGGAAGAGCUCAAAUUUGAAAUCUUAAAGGGUUUCCCUUUACGAAUUGUAGUUUAAAGAAGUGUUUUCUGUUGGAGUUUUGGUAAAAGUUCUUUGGAAUAGGACAUCAUAGAGGGUGAGAAUCCCGUAUUUGACCAGUUACUUUUCCAGCUGUGUGAUACACUUUCAAAGAGUCGGAUUGUUAGGGAAUGCAGUCCAAAAUGGGUGGUAAAUUUCAUCUAAAGCUAAAUAUUGGCGAGAGACCGAUAGCGAACAAGUACCGUGAGGGAAAGAUGAAAAGAACUUUGAAAAGAGAGUUAAACAGUACGUGAAAUUGUCAAAAGGGAAGCGUUUGACACCAGUGUUGUUUAGUUGAAAAUCAAUUCAAUAAUUUUUGAUUUUGAGUAGUAUUGACUUCAUCAGCUUGCUGCUCUCUUUUCGGAAAUUAUUGAAUGCACUUUUCAGUUAACAAGUCAACAUCAAUUUCCUUUGUUGUAAAAGGGUAAGAGGAAGGUGGCUUACGCUUCGGCGUAAGUGUUUAUAGCCUUUUACCUCUGCAAUCGGAGAGAUUGAGGACAGCAGCGUAGACUCUUCGGGGUUAGAUACACUUGUGCUAAGCUAUAGCCUUGUAUAGACAACUUGCUGACUAUGCUCAGUCAUGUAGCUUACUCGCUUGUGCUAUUUUACCUACGCUUAGGAUGUUGACAGCAGUAUAGACUGU